AUGGCCCGCCUCGCCACCCUCGCCCUGCUCCUCCUCUCCCUCGUGUCCGUCGCAAGCUGCCGCGACCUUGAGGCCAUCUCCGACGACCAGGGCCCGCCCGUCCCCGUCCUCCUCACUCGAGAUGAUCAGGCGGAUGCUGCUGCUGAGGUGACGACCCUUCCGAGCUUCCCGGGCCCGGCCGUCGCAUGGGACGAGGACGAGCUCCCCUCCCACCGCGGUCACCUCUGGUUGGCGCGCCGUCACGGCUUCUUCCACCGCCCCGGCGCGUUCACCGGCCUGGGCGAGGCCCGCGUCCAACCUGCGGUCUUCUUCCCCACCGAGCUUGAUCGCGGCGAAGAGCAAGCACCCUGGAAGGCGGUGCUGGAGGCGGUUGCGGAGCCUUACCACGACUCACGCGCAGCCACCGACGGCGAGCAAAAGCCGUUUCAUGCCAAGGAGGAGGGACAGGAGAACGAGGCAGUGAAGAUGGCGAGGAGGUUCGGUCACUGCGUCGGCCUCCCCCACCGCCACCACCACGACCAGGAAGAGAAGGACAAACGACAACCACGGGCAGGACAAGGAUGA
rnacentral:rRNA from 1 species